UUAAAGUACCUAUGACAAAAUACAAAACGUAUGAACCUUCAAUGUCAUGGAACAAUGUUAAUUUUAUCAGAGUAUUAUCUUCUUAUGGUCGGUAUUUUUAGUUAUAUUAUAAAUGGAUUAUCAUUAUCAUAUGCAUAAAUUGAUGAUUUUAUUAGAUUCCAGAUGAUUUUUUGAAAGUAAAUCGAAAAUUGAGGGAGGCGGAGUAUAAAGUAGAUUUAGAAAGUGAUGCAGAUGUAGCAAAAAUAUU